GACGAACGCUGGCGGCGUGCUUAACACAUGCAAGUCGAACGGAAAGGCCCUGCUUUUGUGGUGUGCUCGAGUGGCGAACGGGUGAGUAACACGUGAGUAACCUGCCCUUGACUUUGGGAUAACUUCAGGAAACUGGGGCUAAUACCGGAUAGGAGCUCCUGCUGCAUUGUGGGGGUUGGAAAGUCUCGGCGGUUGGGGAUGGACUCGCGGCUUAUCAGCUUGUUGGUGGGGUAGUGGCUUACCAAGGCUUUGACGGGUAGCCGGCCUGAGAGGGUGACCGGCCACAUUGGGACUGCGAUACGGACCAGACUCCUACGGGAGGCAGCAGUGGGAAAUAUUGCACAAUGGGCGGAAGCCUGAUGAAGCAACGCCGCGUGCGGGAUGACGGCCUUCGGGUUGUAAACCGCUUUCGCCUGUGACGAAGCGUGAGUGACGGUAAUGGGUAAAGAAGCACCGGCUAACUACGUG
rnacentral:rRNA from 1 species